GCACCCUCAUCUAUCCAGUGACUUCAGGAACUUCAUUCAUACAAAACAUGAAGAACACGAUUUCAAAGUAACUGCUGUCAUUUUUAUAUCUGCUUAGAAGAGUUAGAAGUUAAAUGCUGACAACAAUGCAGUUUACAACUACUGGCUCAAAUCCACUAAGCUAUGAUGUGACUUAAGUUUCCAUAAAGAUGCACAAGCACUUUUGUCUUAAGGUCAAGUUACACAUGCCACUACACUACUUCUUCAAACCAGAACUGCAGCCUUUUGAACAAACUUAUCGAGAGCAAUGAUUGUCCUGCUUUGUUCUCACUGGAAACUCCAUGUUUUCCAUGUCAUUUCACUACUUCAGAAUAAACUUCACUAUGUAGUCAUCUGAACUCUUACAAGACAUAAGUUUAAAAGAAGCAUAUAAGCAUGCAAGGGAGUACAGUGCUCAAGUCUGACAGGAUAAAAAGAGUGUUUCAGUGAUGUAUAAUUCAGGCACAUCCAUGCUCGUUUUCAGUACCUGCUAGAUACUUCAUUUCUGCUUCUUGCCAGCACCAACAUUUGCCUUAGCUGUACCCCUGACUUUCUUCAUUCUGUUCUUACGUUCCUUCCGCUGCUUCCUAGAAGUCUUCUUCUUCUCAUACAAACCAUGCUA
rnacentral:lncRNA from 1 species